rnacentral:lncRNA from 1 species
UUUUACAAAUUUACAAUUUAGUCAUUUUGUCUACAGAAUAGCCAAUUACACCUUUAGACCUAACAAAAGUCAUAUGAUUGCUAGGUUGUAAGUUUUGAGGAUCAAUUGUAUGGGAUUGAUUUGUAUCUGAAGUUUGGACAAAAGGCAAGUUUGGUAGGUAAGGCAUUCCUUUGGUAUUUGGCUGAUCAGUACCUUUGUAAGGAAAGAUAUUUUCAUGGAAUAUGACAUUCCUUGAGAUGAAGAUCUUCUCAAUUUCUAAAUCCAGUAGCUUGUAUCCUUUCAUUCCAAAUGGAUAUCCUAAGAAAAUACACCGUCUCGCUCUUGGAUCAAACUUAUGUCUGCCUUGAGUUAAGGUAGUUGCAAAGGCUAAGCAUCCAAAAACUUUCAGAUGGGAAUAGUUUGGCUUGAUUUUAAAGAGGAGUUCAAAAGGUGUUUUGUGAUUUAAGAGAGGUGAAGGGGUUCUGUUUAUGAGGUAAACUGCUGUGAGCACACAAUCAUUCCAAUAUUUCAUGGAAAUUCUGCUUUGAAAUCGUAAUGCCCUUGCUACAUUGAGAAUGUGUUGAUGCUUCCUUUCCACAACUAAAUUUUGUUAUGGAGUUUCAACACAGGACAUUUGAUGUACAAUUCCUUUCUCAUGGAAAAAGGUUUUCAUAUUGAAUUCUCGACCAUUGUCACUUCUAAUUAUCUUUAUUUUGGUUUCAAACUGGUUUUCAAUCAUGUUACAAAAACCUUGUAAAACAGUGCCAAUAUCAAAUUUAUUUUUCAAAGUAUAAAUCCAAGUACAUUUGAUGUAGGUUUCAACUAUCGUUAAGAAGUAUCUUGAGCCAUCAUAGGCAACCUUACUACAUGGUCCCCAAAGAUCACAAUGAACUAAAUCAAAGCAAUUUUUUUACUGAUGCUGACCAACUGGGAAAGGUAGCUUAUGCAUUUUGGCUAGAGGACAUAUCAUGCAGGGUUUGGAAGUUUUGUUGCUACCUAAGAACUCAAGAGUUAUAGAUGAAAAAUUCCCUAAUCUAUUGUGUUAGAGAUCAUAUUCUUCAGUUUGCAUGGCAGCAGCUGUUGUCAUAGUUACAGUGUCGAGAAAGGCUAAUGGUGAAAUUUCUUUUUGCUGCAGUUGAUACAAGCCAUGUCUCAUCUCACCCAUUCCAAUCGUUCUCCAAGUCAAAAGGUCCUGAAUGAAGCACAUUUGAGACAAAAAAACGAGAUAGCAGUUCAAAGAAGAAGUUAAUUUUCUAGCUGAAAUUAAGUUGAAGGAGAAAGAUGGAACAAAUAGUACAUCAUGUAAAAAUAGUGUUUCUGAAGUUCUUACUGUCCCUAUAUGAGUGACAGCAACUCUAUUGUCAUUAGGAAGUGAAACAGAAUAGGCGACCUGUGCCGUGAUCUUAGUAAAUAGGGAAAUGUCACAGAUCAUAUGAUCUGUGGCACCUGUGUCUAGAAUCCAAGAUGUAUU